rnacentral:rRNA from 1 species
GACGAACGCUGGCGGCGUGCCUAAUACAUGCAAGUCGAACGCUUCUUUCCUCCCGAGUGCUUGCACUCAAUUGGAAAGAGGAGUGGCGGACGGGUGAGUAACACGUGGGUAACCUACCCAUCAGAGGGGGAUAACACUUGGAAACAGGUGCUAAUACCGCAUAACAGUUUAUGCCGCAUGGCAUAAGAGUGAAAGGCGCUUUCGGGUGUCGCUGAUGGAUGGACCCGCGGUGCAUUAGCUAGUUGGUGAGGUAACGGCUCACCAAGGCCACGAUGCAUAGCCGACCUGAGAGGGUGAUCGGCCACACUGGGACUGAGACUCGGCCCAGACUCCUACGGGAGGCAGCAGUAGGGAAUCUUCGGCAAUGGACGAAAGUCUGACCGAGCAACGCCGCGUGAGUGAAGAAGGUUUUCGGAUCGUAAAACUCUGUUGUUAGAGAAGAACAAGGACGUUAGUAACUGAACGUCCCCUGACGGUAUCUAACCAGAAAGCCACGGCUAACUACGUG